AUUUAUUUUUCAGAUGUCUAUGCAGCAUUGUGGCCAUUCCUUGGUAUUCUAGUGGAGGUGCUUCUGCUUGGAAUUAUUAUAUUCAUCUUUGAGAAGCGCCGUGCUAAGGCAGAAUUUGAGGAAUCUGAUACUGACCAGGGGAAUGACCAGAAAAACACCGAUCACCACAAGGAUUCUGUCCGUCAGCGAAAGUAAGUAGAAAGCUGCAAAUGACAACUAAUUAAAUUUUUUGCCAUUUGAAAUGAGCAGAAAAGAAAUAUUUGCAGGGAAAUAGUCAUUGGUAAUGAUGACAGAUGAUUAAAGAUGUAAAUGAAAUCAUGAUUGACUGGGAGAUUUAAGCCAUGAAACAGAUAGUGAUUCACAUUUAAGUAAACAUACUAGCAAAGAUGUAGAUAUUCAUAGAGAGGAAAUAUUAUGAUUGGCAUAAUACAUCAAUGAAAAGUUCAUGACAUUACUUAAGAAUAUUUUAUGGUAUAACAUUUAUUUAUUAAGGUUCAACUUUAUAGUUGACUUUUAUCCUCCAGUCAUAAUUAUUAAUUUCUUUAUUAUGAUUAUGUGGUGCACCAAUUUUCUUAUGAAAGCUGAUUUUUGCAUUUUGUCAAGUAAUACAGUGCUUACUUUAUCAGAAGUUACUCAUUAUUGCUGAUAAUGUUUUUAAUCUGGCAUUUCUUGCUGCUUGAUUAUUCAUUGUGCUAUAGUUGCAGAUAUGUUUUAUCCUCAAACAUUUCUAGAAUUGAUUGCUUUUAGAGUUUAGCUUCCUAUAUAUUUUGUUGCAUUGCCUAUCUGAAAUAGACAUGUAUGUGUAAAUCCCUGUGUGUACUACUAUCAGGGAAAGUUUGUGUUUGUCAAGUAGUUUAUGUAUAUUUACAUACAUACAUAUAUACAUUUAGAUAGAAGUUUAGAGGAAUGAUGUAUUCAUUGUUUCCCAGUUCUGUUCAAAUGAUCAAUUCAGGUUUGUAUGUACAGUAUAUAUUUCAUAGAUAUAUAUAAUAUUAUAAACAAAUUUCUUACUUAGAGUUUUUAAACAUAGUUUAUAAUUUGCAAAACUCAAGUUUUAACUUUAUGGCUUGUGAGAAAGUUAGUGAGUAGCCAGUUAUGGUAUUGCCUUAAAAACAGGAUAUAUCAAGGCAAAGGUUUUAUUGUGCAGUGUUCUGGUUUUAAUGUUUGAUAACUUUCACUCACGGAUAACUGAGAACAGUCAGCCAAGAAAAGUGUUAAUGUGUUUUUCUUAGAUACUAAUGGUUUCCAUCCCAAUGGAAUUGGGAAUCACUUGUCUUCAUGAGAUUCAUUAAAUAAAUUAUGGACUGUGUUAUGUGUAUUGUUGAUAUUAUAUAAUGUUAUAGAUAAUCUAAUAGAAAAA